ACAGAGUUUAGUUGAAAGUUUGGUAUAAAUAAAUACAGGGAUGGUUUCUUGUAUCUGAAAAUCAGAUCUUUAGACCUGUAUUGAAAGAUUAGAUCGAGGGUGGUGAGCAGUAGUAGCUUCUUUGUAAGGUUAUCUUUGAAGCAUUAAGAGGGAUUGGGAUUGAGGGACUAUAGAAAAAAAAAUUGUAAUUAUGAAAUAAAAAU
rnacentral:lncRNA from 1 species